AUUGAACGCUGGCGGCAUGCUUUACACAUGCAAGUCGAACGGUAACAGGCCGCAAGGUGCUGACGAGUGGCGAACGGGUGAGUAAUGCAUCGGAACGUGCCCAGUCGUGGGGGAUAACGCAGCGAAAGCUGCGCUAAUACCGCAUACGAUCUAUGGAGGAAAGCGGGGGACCGUAAGGCCUCGCGCGAUUGGAGCGGCCGAUGUCAGAUUAGGUAUUUGGUGGGGUAAAGGCUCACCAAGCCGACGAUCUGUGGCUGGUCUGAGAGGACGACCAGCCACACUGGGACUGAGACACGGCCCAGACUCCUACGGGAGGCAGCAGUGGGGAAUUUUGGACAAUGGGGGCAACCCUGAUCCAGCAAUGCCGCGUGCAGGAAGAAGGCCUUCGGGUUGUAAACUGCUUUUGUACGGAACGAAACGGCUCUGGUUAAUACCCGGGGCUAAUGACGGUACCGUAAGAAUAAGCACCGGCUAACUACGUGCCAGCCGCCGCAGUAA
rnacentral:rRNA from 1 species